rnacentral:rRNA from 1 species
UACGUAGGGGGCAAGCGUUGUCCGGAAUCAUUGGGCGUAAAGAGCGUGUAGGCGGCCUGGUAAGUCCGCUGUGAAAGUCCAGGGCUCAACCCUGGAAUGCCGGUGGAAACUGUCAGGCUCGAGUCCGGAAGAGGCGAGUGGAAUUCCUGGUGUAGCGGUGAAAUGCGCAGAUAUCAGGAGGAACACCAAUGGCGAAGGCAGCUCGCUGGGACGGUACUGACGCUGAGGUGCGAAAGCUAGGGUAGCAAACAGG